rnacentral:rRNA from 1 species
UACGAAGGGGACUAGCGUUGCUCGGAAUCACUGGGCGUAAAGCGCACGUAGGCGGCUUUCUAAGUCAGGGGUGAAAUCCUGGAGCUCAACUCCAGAACUGCCUUUGAUACUGGAGAGCUGGAGUCCGGAAGAGGUGAGUGGAACUGCGAGUGUAGAGGUGAAAUUCGUAGAUAUUCGCAAGAACACCAGUGGCGAAGGCGGCUCACUGGUCCGGUACUGACGCUGAGGUGCGAAAGCUAGGGGAGCAAACAGG